UGCCAGACUCCUACGGGAGGCAGCAGUGGGGGAUAUUGCACAAUGGGGGGAACCCUGAUGCAGCGACGCCGCGUGGGUGAAGGAGUGCUUCGGCAUGUAAAGCCCUAUCGGCAGGGAAGAAGCAAGACGGUACCUGACUAAGAAGCCCCGGCUAACUACGUGCCAGCAGCCGCGGUAAUACGUAGGGGGCAAGCGUUAUCCGGAUUCACUGGGUGUAAAGGGAGCGUAGACGGCCAUGCAAGCCUGGAGUGAAAGCCCGGGGCCCAACCCCGGGACUGCUCUGGGAACUGUGCGGCUGGAGUGCGGGAGGGGCAGGCGGAAUUCCUGGUGUAGCGGUGAAAUGCGUAGAUAUCAGGAGGAACACCGGCGGCGAAGGCGGCCUGCUGGACCGCGACUGACGUUGAGGCUCGAAAGCGUGGGGAGCAAACAGGAUUAGAUACCCGAGUAU
rnacentral:rRNA from 1 species